rnacentral:rRNA from 1 species
GACGAACGCUGGCGGCGUGCCUAAUACAUGCAAGUCGAGCGAAUCAGCAGGAGCUUGCUCCUGUUGGUUAGCGGCGGGCGGGUGAGUAACACGUGGGCAACCUGCCUGUAAGACUGGGAUAACACCGGGAAACCGGUGCUAAUACCGGAUAAUCCUUUUCCUCUCAUGAGGAAAAGCUGAAAGUCGGUUUCGGCUGACACUUACAGAUGGGCCCGCGGCGCAUUAGCUAGUUGGUGAGGUAACGGCCCACCAAGGCGACGAUGCGUAGCCGACCUGGGAGGGUGAGCGGCCAAACGGGGACUGAGACACGGCCCAGACUCCUACGGGAGGCAGCAGUAGGGAAUCUUCCACAAUGGACGAAAGUCUGAUGGAGCAACGCCGCGUGAGCGAUGAAGGCCUUCGGGUCGUAAAGCUCUGUUGUUAGGGAAGAACAAGUACCGGAGUAACUGCCGGUACCUUGACGGUACCUAACCAGAAAGCCACGGCUAACUACGUGCCAGCCGCCGCGGUAAGAC